rnacentral:lncRNA from 1 species
AGACAGAACCGAGCCUUGCUUUUCAUAUAGAAGAGAGCGUGUCUCUAAGGCGUUUAAGGCCCGGGAGGAAGCGCAACGCCUAGAGGAGAAGAAGCGCAGGCGGAAGAGGCCAAGAAAGUCCCCUACCCCCACCGAGAAGAGGGAGAAAAAAGGACGCGACAAGUGCCACCAGAAGAAACACACCGGAGGGGGACAGGCGGGAGAACGCGAAGCUGACCGAGCUGGUGUCCGCC